UUGAUUGGUGCUUGCAUCAUGAUUUACAUUUGAGUGAGUGGCGAACUGGUGAGUAACACGUGGGAAACCUGCCCAGAAGCGGGGGAUAACACCUGGAAACAGAUGCUAAUACCGCAUAACAACUUGGACCGCAUGGUCCGAGCUUGAAAGAUGGCUUCGGCUAUCACUUUUGGAUGGUCCCGCGGCGUAUUAGCUAGAUGGUGGGGUAACGGCUCACCAUGGCAAUGAUACGUAGCCGACCUGAGAGGGUAAUCGGCCACAUUGGGACUGAGACACGGCCCAAACUCCUACGGGAGGCAGCAGUAGGGAAUCUUCCACAAUGGACGAAAGUCUGAUGGAGCAACGCCGCGUGAGUGAAGAAGGGUUUCGGCUCGUAAAACUCUGUUGUUAAAGAAGAACAUAUCUGAGAGUAACUGUUCAGGUAUUGACGGUAUUUAACCAGAAAGCCACGGCUAACUACGUGCCAGCAGCCGCGGUAAUACGUAGGUGGCAAGCGUUGUCCGGAUUUAUUGGGCGUAAAGCGAGCGCAGGCGGUUUUUUAAGUCUGAUGUGAAAGCCUUCGGCUCAACCGAAGAAGUGCAUCGGAAACUGGGAAACUUGAGUGCAGAAGAGGACAGUGGAACUCCAUGUGUAGCGGUGAAAUGCGUAGAUAUAUGGAAGAACACCAGUGGCGAAGGCGGCUGUCUGGUCUGUAACUGACGCUGAGGCUCGAAAGUAUGGGUAGCAACAGGAUUAGAUACCCUGGUAGUCCAUACCGUAAAC
rnacentral:rRNA from 2 species